rnacentral:rRNA from 1 species
UACAGAGGGUGCGAGCGUUGUCCGGAAUUACUGGGCGUAAAGGGCGCGUAGGCGGCUUGGUAAGUCGGGGGUGAAAGUCAGCGGCUCAACCGCUGGACUGCCUUCGAGACUGCCUGGCUUGAGCAUGGUAGAGGCUGGCGGAAUUCCCGGUGUAGCGGUGGAAUGCGUAGAGAUCUGGAAGAACACCAAAGGCGAAGGCGGCGUCCUGGGAAGUGACUGACGCUCAUGUGCGAAAGCUAGGGGAGCGAACGGG